AACAAGAACGACUCUCGGCAACGGAUAUCUCGGCUCUCGCAUCGAUGAAGAACGUAGCGAAAUGCGAUACUUGGUGUGAAUUGCAGAAUCCCAUGAACCAUCGAGUCUUUGAACGCAAGUUGCGCCCGAAGCCGUUAGGUUGAGGGCACGUCUGCCUGGGUGUCACAC
rnacentral:rRNA from 1 species